rnacentral:lncRNA from 1 species
GUGAUGCAGGAUGCAGGACAAUUCUUUGUUGUAGGCAACUGCCUCACACACGGCAGGGCGCCUCGCAUCCCUGGCCCCGCAUGUUAAAUGUCAUAACCAGACCAUUAUGACAACCAGAAGUACCUCUCACAUUUCCACAAAGCCCCUGUGGUGCUGCCCCAGGAGGGGAGCACUGCUCACCCAGCCCAGCUGGGACCCAGCGCAUGGAAGAAGCCAGCAGGGACUGGCGGAUGAUCCAUGGAGUCCCAGGGCAGACUCUAGCUCAGCUGGGGAAUCCUGCAGUCAAGUCUGGACUGAGCAGUUUGCAUUUAAAAGACCUUGUUUUCCCCAGAACCUAAGGCUCAGGGAAACAGACUGGAUUGAACACCUAGGUUUCUCACCAGCUGUGCCAGCGUGGAGAUGUGGAGCUCCGGUUGGCCACCCUGCAGGAGGUUUUGGCCUCAGGAAUUUCAGCAGGAAGGUGCAGCCGCAGCAAGAAAUGCCAUUUGCUCCAGGCUUCCUUCUGCCCACUGGCUCCUCCUCCGCAUCUCUAAGCCCUGAGUGCCCAGGGCUCAGUCGGGACCUCUUCUCUCUGUCUACGCUUGGUUCGAAGAAGAGAAUGCUCUCGCCUUCGUCUGGACCUGUAAGCCUUGCUUCAGAGGCUACCUUCUCACAGACCCUCCCAGAUCCCCACUGCAUGGGCACUGAGAGUUUGCACCUGUCUCAUAAGGUGCUUUUUAACAGAUUCCUGUUGCACUACAUUGUUGCAAGUUUCCUAGCACCUAUAGAAUUUCCCAGGAGUACAUGCUAAAUGAUUUGGGCAAAUGACUUUCAGACGACUGGGGCUCAGCCUAGCGAAAGAACCCUGCAGUGCACUGAGAAGCGUCUUCAGACUUCAAGGAGAUUAUUUAAAUUUGCCUAAAGCUCUCAAAGUGCUCCUUGAAAGUUCUGCUAAACAAAGAACCAAACCAAGAAAAACCUCUAGGGAAUAAAUGUUGCUAAAAUGGUAGUAAGAUGCA